CCUACGGGUGGCAGUAGUGGGGAAUAUUGGGCAAUGGGCGCAAGCCUGACCCAGCAACGCCGCGUGAAGGAAGAAGGCUUUCGGGUUGUAAACUUCUUUUAUCAGGGACGAAGCCAGUGACGGUACCUGCUGAAUAAGCCACGGCUCACUACGUGCCAGCAGCCGCGGUAAUACGUAGGUGGCAAGCGUUAUCCGGAUUUACUGGGUGUAAAGGGCGUUUAGGCGGGAGUGCAAGUCAGAUGGGAAAACUAUGGGCUAAACCCAUAGCCUGCAUUUGAAACUGUACUUCUGGAGUGCUGGGGAGGCAAUCGGAAUGCCGUGUGUAGCGGUGAAAUGCGUAGAUAUACGGAGGAAAACCAGUGGCGAAGGCGGAGUGCUGGACAGUAACUGACGCUGAGGCGCGAAAGCGUGGGGAGCAAACAGGAUUAGAUACCCCAGUAGUC
rnacentral:rRNA from 1 species